GACGAACGCUGGCGGCGUGCUUAACACAUGCAAGUCGAGCGGUAAGGCCCUUUCGGGGGUACACGAGCGGCGAACGGGUGAGUAACACGUGGGUGACCUGCCCUCAGCUCUGGGAUAAAGCCUGGGAAACCGGGUCUAAUACCGGAUAUGACUCCAUGACGCAUGUUGUGGGGUGGAAAGCCUUGUGCGGCUGGAGGAUGGG
rnacentral:rRNA from 1 species